rnacentral:rRNA from 1 species
UACGUAGGAUCCAAGCGUUGUCCGGAUUUACUGGGUGUAAAGGGUGCGCAGGCGGACUGGUAAGUCAGGGGUGAAAUCUCGCUGCUCAACAGCGAAACUGCCUUUGAUACUGUCAGUCUUGAAUAAGCGAGAGAUUCGUGGAAUUCCGAGUGUAGCAGUGAAAUGUGUAGAUAUUCGGAAGAACACCAGUGGCGAAGGCAGCGAAUUGGCGCUUUAUUGACGCUCAGGCACGAAAGCAUGGGGAUCAAACAGG